rnacentral:rRNA from 1 species
GGCAGAGGGUGCAAACGUUGUUCGGAAUUACUGGGCGUAAAGCGCGUGUAGGCGGCUAAGUAAGUCGGGCGUGAAAUCCCACGGCUCAACCGUGGAAGUGCACUCGAAACUGCGUAGCUAGAGUCCUGGAGAGGAAGGUGGAAUGCUUGGUGUAGAGGUGAAAUUCGUAGAUAUCAAGCGGAACACCGGUGGCGAAGGCGGCCUUCUGGACAGUGACUGACGCUGAGACGCGAAAGCGUGGGGAGCAAACAGG